UCCCNAGCCUGUGUUGCAAAAGUGAAAGAGCUUUACAAUACAAUUGAUCUUCAGGGUGCAUUCGUAGAGUACGAAAGCGAGAGUUACGGAAAGCUGAUAAAAUCCAUUGAAGCUCAUCCCAGUAAGGCCAUUCAAGCUUUGUUGAAGUCAUUUUUAGCCAAGAUAUACAAGAGGCAGAAGUAGAAUCUUCAUCUAUCAAUAGACAAGGACUAGAUGAGUAGCUAUCUGAAUUUUUUUUUUUUUUUUGCCUAUUUUGUGUUGUAACCUCCAAAUGGAAGAGAAUAAGUGUGUAUUUUUUUAUGAACGUUUGAGUUACUUUUGGUUCUCAAUCAACUUCCAUUUUCUCAAGGGAGAAUAAAUGUAUUCUCAGGAGUACUCUAUAAUUGAAAGCCCUUCUGUGCUGCCAUUUAUAUUGAAUGAAACUUUGUUCAUUA